CCUCCUCCCCUGCACUGCUGGCUCCUCCCUCCUCCUCGUGCUGGCUGGUGCUCACCGGCGCCUUCGUGACGUCUCCCCAAACCACCUCUUCCUUUCCUGCCCAUUUCUGCCGGCUCUUGAGAAGCUUCUAGAUGCCUCUUUGUUCCGCGACAUCCUCUCCUGUCGGAACACUGAAAGGAAACAGGCAGGGGAAACGGCCUGCCCGUCGCUGAACUGCGCGGGGGCCGGGGGGUAGCCCCGCUGCCAGAGGACGGAUGUUGAGGGUUGGGUGGAUUGUUUUAGAUUUCCUCAGCUUCGCUAGUGCGGGUUUGCGCUGCUCCGUCUCGCUCCGUGGCAUCUGGCCAGCAGCAGCACCUGUGCAACUCCCGCGGAAAACAGGUUUAAGGAUUCGGAUCCAAGACGUUUAGAAAGCUCCCCAGGGAACUGCGCUGUUUGGCCGAGUAGGGGAGUCGCGCUGUGACCCUCAAGGCCUGGGCGUCCCGGGGAGAAAGAGCUCCCGGGGUGGGGGGGGGCGCCCCUGAAGAGAACCGCUCGCACCCUCCUGGGGAGGGGUCACAACCCUAGCAGCGUUUGUAGAGUCCCGGCAGCCUCGCUGCUCCAAGUUAGGGACGUGGGGGCAGGUGCUCUAGCAUCACGACCCUGCAGCGGACGGAGGAGGCCUUCGUCUCCCUCCAGGUCAGCGGGGAUGCUGGUCCCCAAGUCCCUCCUGUGCUCACGGGCGGCCAGGGGCGCGGCCCCCUCCCCCCUCCCCCAGGGCGGCGUCAGGGCGGCACAGCCACGCCGGCUGCGGACAGGCUUGUGAGGGGGCACUUGGGGAAGGUGAACCCGUGUCCUCGGCUCGGCCUUCAAGGCCCUGCCAGGGCGUUACUCAGAGGCGGGGAUCCCCGGCCCGGGCUAAGGAAGCGGGAACCGUGACAAACUGCACGGUCCUGUCUGGCGUUUGGCGUUUGUCUCAUUAGCCCUCUUCAUGCUGUUAUUACAACGGACGGGGAAACAAACGGCAGAGCAAAAGGAGAACCCGUACCUGUUAUUUCUGAGUCUUCGCCACGACGCAAAGACAGGAGCCAUACCCAUUCUGUCUCACUAAUUCAGGCAGGGCUUCCUGCUGUCCUGCAGAAUACACGUGUCCAAAGGAACAUUCUACCGAAUGAAGCCUUACUGACGCCGUGCACACUAGCCCACAAGUGAGGGACGACAAUCUGCUUUGACGGGCGGGUCUCCCUGAAGUCACCCAGAUAGUGACAGAGCCAGUCCGUGGGGUCUCCCUCCCCACCACCCGCACCUGAAAACUGUAAGGAGAAGAACGCGAAUAAAGGAACCUGAACAGUUCUUCUGACUGUAAGAGCUUUGACCACCGGAAUACGGAGUCUCUGGAAGUGGCCACUGUCACGCAGACUGACAUCCUCCAGCGUCCCCAGGGCUGCUCGGUUCUGCCCCAAGGUCCCCAUCCCACAUGCACGCUGACCGCUGACGUCUGCCUUCUGCUUGUCCUGCUCCCAGCCCUUUGCCUUGCUUCCUUUAGGAAUGAAUAUGCUGCUGUUUUAGGAGACGAUUUCACUUUCCACCCUGUUGCUGAGCGAUCGUUAUUACCGAAGUUCAAGGUAAUACCUUACCUGAAACCCUCGGUGCCAGAUACACCACCUACUUUUUCUGGGGUUUAGCACACACGGUAGGUACGUAUACCAUAGGGUACCUCGGUUCCAUCCCCAAAACCAAUGUAUUAAUAUUUUUGUAGGGAAACAAUAUUCCUACUAAAUGGGAUGCAGGUUGUAAAUAGCGCAAGUCAGUUUAGAUACACUCUAGAUGCCACGUGACUUUUGUCACCAAACACACAGACCACUUGGGGUUUUAAGCCUUUGGGAUUUCAGAAUCGCAGAUAAAAGACUGUGGACCUGUGAGAUACGUGUAUGUGUAUCUCACAUAUUUCUCUAUGUAUAUAUAUAGGAUGCUUGGGAGGAAAAGCCUUUAUCUUAUUUUUUUUUUUUUUUUUUUUGAGGAAAAGCCUUUAAUACAGACUCUGCAUUAGAUGAAGGGAGACUCUUGCUUCUCACGCUCCUGACGCCCUGUGGCUCCUGCAGCCCCUGCGGCCCCCGGCCCGUCGGGCUCUUCUGCUCUGCCCGCCGCCUCCCUCCAUGGCUUGCCCUGCUUCCUUGCCUCUUUCCAGGCUUGGCUCAGAGACCCCUGGGAGCCCCUCCUGACCCCGGCGCACCUCCCGGGUCCUCGCCACGUCCCCUCGCCUGACGCCCUGUGGGCUCCUGGUUUCUUCCUUGCUUUCUUCCCUACGCGGCAGGCUCCGCAGAGAUGGGGACCUUGGCCUCAUCCAACCCCUGCUGCACCCCGACUUAGAACCGCGCCCGGCAGUGGGAGGCACUCAGUACAGGACAAAUGAAAAGAGGAAGAGAAUAUGAUUUUUGUCUCCAUAUACUUGGGAAAACACGCAAAGUCCACUCUGGUUUUGAAAACAGCCUCCUCCAGGUGCCAGAGCCGUGAGAGCAGCCAACUGACGCGCCCACCUGGGGAGGGAGGCUGGCAGAGGCCCGCCCUCCGCUCCUGAAGGAGAGUAGUGCCCGGGAAGGCCGGCGGCGUGUGGUCAAGGCAGGCCUCUGAGCGGAUGGGCCCCGGGACGGGAAGGAACCAGCCAGGCAAAAUUCCAGAAGAGCUCUCCAGACAGAAGGCGUCAGAGCAAGUUGAGAGCGGGAGGGGGGCCAGGCCUGGCAGGAGGGAGAGAGGGCAGUGGGCUGAAGCCCAGGGGGCAGGGGCAAGGAGCUGGGAGGGAAGGCGAGGCGCACAGGGCCCCUUCCCAGGCCCGCGAGGUGCCCCACACCCACCCCGAGGAGCAGUGGGGAUCGAUUUCUGUUUUGAAGGAAUCAUUCUUGCUUGUAUGUUCAAAGGUGGGGAGGAAAGGGAGGGAUCACGGAGACUAGUGAGGAGUCUAAACAGCGCUCUCAAGAAAAGCGGAUAAAUGGCUCUGAGGAGUUUGGCUUGACCAGUAAGUGUUUAGUAAAAUGGGGAAAGACUGGGGUAGAAACAAGGUGCUUGGCCUGAUUUUGGUUUCUAUUUUGCGAAUUCAGGGAGUGGGGGAAGGGAGUGAGAGUCAAGAGUUCUACUGGCUCUGAGGGCUUGGACCUCCAUGAGGGAGGUCAGGAUGGGGAAAUCAAUUUGGGGACCAUCAGCAUAUGAAGCCAAUUAAAGGCUAAGAAUGGAUGAGACGGGCCCCUGGGUGGCUCUUGGUUAGAUGUCUGCCUUCGGCUCAGGUCAGGAUCCCCGGGUCCUGGGAUGGAGCCCCCACAUCGGGCUCCCCGCUCAGUGGGGAGCCUGCAUCUCCCUCUCCCCCUGCCUACAGCUCCCUCUGCUUGUGUGCUCUCUGUGUCAAAUAAAUAAAAUCUUAAAAAUAAUAAUAACAAUAACAACGAUGAAACACCAGGAGAGAACUUGGAUACAGAAGAGAACAUUAGUGCACUUGAUACAAAGAAUACAUCAGACCAUUAAGACUCUUAACAACUAAUUUAUUUUAAAAUAGACAAACUAUUAAUUGUAGAAAAUAGUAACAUAGCAAUUUUAAAUGUACAGUUUUAACCAAUACAAAAAGCAAUAAAGCAUUAUCUGAAGAUAAUUAUUUAAGAAAUCUUAA